CAGGCGGCGUCCCCGGCCUGUUCCGGCCGCCCCGGUCGCGCGGUCCCCGGAGGGGCGCACGGCCCCCGCCCGCACCCCGUGCGCGCGCGCGCGCUCACCUCGGGGGGGCCGGUCCGGUCGCGCCGAUCGCGCCGCCGCGGCGGCUCCGCAUCUCCCGGGCGCCCGCCCGCCGCCCUCCGGGGCGCCCCUCGGUCCCCGCCGGCGCCAAGGAGGGUCGUGGGGACGCGCGGAGGCCGCGGGGUCCGGGCGCCGCCGGCGCAGCCUCCAGCCGCCCGCAGCCGAGCAGGAAAUUUGCCGGGUCCCGCCGCCUCCUCCGCUCGCGCUCGGGCUCGGGCUCCGGCUCCGGCUCCGGCUCGGGCUCGGGCUCCGCGGCGGGGGCGGGGGCCGGCGCAGCGAGGAGCGGGGGCGACGCCUGCCGUCCGGCGCGGGGAGCGCACCCCGGGCGCCAGCCCCACCUGGAGGCGCCCCGCCGCGCUCGCUGGACGUCCGUCUUCCCAGGCUGGCGCCCCUUCCGGGGAGAGACCCUGGCCGGGGUGGGGGUGGGGGGCCACUGCCCGGAGCCGCGCGCCCACCGACGGGGACAGGUGUGACGGGCGCUCUUCCGCGCGGGAAAGGCCGUUCCUACCCCGCCUUGGCCCUGGGCACCUGGAAGUGACCUGGCUGGGGACACGCUUUGGGUCACGCAGGGGGUACAAGGGAGCGCGCGGCACCCUGUACCGCUUCUGGUUCCGAGAAGUACAGAGAGAGCCCGGAAAAUCUCCCGAGCCGGUGUCCUCCUCGCUGAAGAGGGGAUGGGGUCACCACCUGGUUGGUGAGGGGCUUGGUGGUCCAGGAGGCAGAGCCCGGCAAAGGGAAACCCACCUACACGGAGGAAGAGCCGCUGCCAGGAAGGGUCGGGACCUGCUGCUCUCGGGGACUGCUCUCCAGGCGACCUGCUGUGCGCUAUGUAGGCAGGUGUCAGAGUCACGGGCGUUCCAAUCCGGAGGGCAGAAAGGAUACAGGAAUGAAGCAGCAUCCCUUCACUUCUUCUGGAGUCUGAAGACAUCCGUCAUCGUCACGCUGAAGCAUGUUGUCAGAGGCAUUGAAGCCAGGGUCGUGCUGGUUCCCGUACGGAAGCCCCUUGACCCUUCUUACCCCUCCCCGUUCGGCUUCUCUUCCUGCUCAAGCUUCUCACGCCUGAGACCGCUCCUCUCUUCCCACCCUAGGCUUCAAGGAUCUGCCCUCCCUCUUGCCAUCCUGACCACUUAGCCAUCUUCCUCUUUCAGACCCAGGCCCCAGCGCUUGUUAAAUCAGCCCCCAUCGGCGCUUCCUGUUCAAUCCCACCUAGGGAGCCCUGCUCCCCCCCCCAACCCUGCAGCUCCCUUCCUGUAAGGCGCAGGACGCUGGAGGCAGUUUUCCUGAGACCCUUACUCUUAACCCUCGCUGUGCGUCUUGUCUUCCGUUUAUUUGAGGGCUGAGACUUUGGGCUCGAGUUCAGGGUAACACAGAUUAUGCUCAUUGACCUUAAAGGCCCCAGUAGAUGUCAGCUAAAAUUAAAACACUCGGGCCAGAAAUGCUCUCUAGGAGGAUAAACAAAAAAAAAAAAAAAAGGCAGCAUUGGUAUGGAGGAAGCACAUCACAGUCUGCUUUUAAACACUGUACAGAGACAUUAGCAUAAAAUGACAGGACUUUGGGAGAUAAAAUCAGAACGUCUUGGUGUCUGAUUGGCCACAGGGCAGGACAAGCAAGGAACGCUGACUUUAGGACCAGUGCCCACAAGGAGGAAAACACAGGAUGGCUCUUCUGAUCUCUAGAACGUGCCAGAACGAAUAACUCCAAGGGGUACAGAACUUUCUAUGUUUACAUUACCCAAUUAUCCUUCCCACUCUCCUUUCUCCAAGUUAUGCCCAAGUAUUUAACAGUUAUUAACCGGUGAAAUCGAGACAAUGGGAUUUUUGCAAGAUUUCUCCCAGGAAAACAAGCAGUUGUCUCCUCCUUCAGGGGGGUCUCGGAGCAUUUUAACUCUUUUUUUUUUUUCUUGCAUUACUUUUCGUUGAUGAAUAAUAUAGGUGAAUUAUACAAAUCUUAAGUGUACAGUUUUAUGAAUAAAGACAAAUACGCAAAAAAGUGUCCCA
ensembl:lncRNA